AAAACCAAAAUGUCAAUGUCAUGGUGGUGCUAGAGGAAAUGUCAUGUGAUCUCCAAAGUUGGUAAGAUUUGUCCUCUGGGGACCAUGACUGUCUGUACAAAAUGUAACGGCAAUCCAUCUAAAACUUGUUGAGAUAUUUCAGUAAGGACCAAAGUGGUGGGUCGGUGCACUGACAUUUUCCAUCUCUGGAGCCACAUAGUGUGGCUAUAAAAAAAGAACUGACAUGGCUGUUGUUAUUGGAAAUGGAAAUGGAAAUGGCAGUACUAGGAUUGUCUGCCGUGAAAAGGCAGUAGUAAUACCACUGCCAUUUACAAGCAGAAUUAUUAUCUUCUCUCAGAAUUGAUGACGACCUCCCUACUUCUGCUUACAGCUCAUCCAAAAUGCCGUUUUAUUAUUGGAAUUCUGCCUCUUUAAUUAUGUCCUUAUCCCAAAGAAUAACAGCUUUCCCCCUCAGGUUUACUGUUUUUUAUAUUCUGUCAUGUUUUAUCUACUGAAUAUAUUGUAUUAUUUGUGUGUGUAUGUAUCAACCAGCAACUUUGAUGUCAGCAAAAUAAUUUCUCUUUAGAGCUCAUUAAAGUGAAUCUUGAUCUUGAGCAGUUUUGAUAUUGAGGUCAACUCUCAAGCCAGACUAACACUUCUCAAAAUGAAAGUUGUUAUUCAUGAAUGCGAUCAAAAGCUUUUUCAUUAUUCAAACCCUAAAAUUUGAGUGUAAGUUUCAAAAAUUUUGUCAAUUUUGUGAGUGUAAUUAGGAGGUUUUUGAAUGUGGUUGAACUAAUACAUUUUCGAAGUGGCCUAGCACAAUAGCUGUUGUCAGGGCUGGACUGGGACAAAAAAUCGGCCCUGGCAUUUUUUGUCCAGGCGGCCCACCAAAAUCGGUCGGACAUCCCUCACCAAUACACCAUCCUUGCUGUUCAGGGCUUAGAUUAGGGGUUUGACAAACCUCUUAGCCCAUAAGACUUGACACUGCACAAAUGGUGGGACCAUAACAACAAGACAACAAUGUAUUUUAAUAGGCUUAGUAUUUGGGGAAAAAAAUGUAUUGACGAAAUAGUUGAUAGGGGGGUCUGGGGGUACUCCCCCAGAAGAUAUUAAACAUUAAACACUUAAUUUCCUGCAUUCUGGAGACAUACUUGUAUCAACCCUCAGUUUCCCAGACAGUGUUUAAAUUAGGCCAAGGCUAGGCCUUAAUCUAGAAUAGUUAAUCACUGCUCAAUAAAUGGCUUUCUGAAACACAGACUAAUUAGAGAUUAAGAACACCUGGACUAUGAAGUCUGGAACUAAAGUAAACGAGAUUAAUUUAAAACCACCUGUGCUAGUCUGAAUUAGCUGGAUUGAGGUUAUAAAACAUGGAAUGGACCCAGAAAUCCUAAAACAUAAGGAACUGCAGAAGUAAAUUCAAGGAAAACAAUGGCAGCAGAAAAAAAGACCACAAUCAAAAAAACUUCACUGAGCAUGAGAAAACUCUUGUAAAGACAAUAGUAUUAAGACACCCGGUCAAUGAAGACAAACCGCAUACAUCUGCUGUGGAAUCAAAGAAAAGGAAUGCAUGGAAAUCCAUCUGUAAUGAACUUAAUGCAAGUGAACAAACAUCAACAAGAACAAUACAACAGCUUCAGGUUUUGUGGAAAAAUAUAAAAAUCAACCUUAAACUGCUGCAGAAGCCCGAAGAGAGAGGUUUAAGACUGGUGGAGGACCUGCAAAUAAAGAUACUGAUCAGUUGGAUGACUUACUGACAGGAAUAAUGGAGAACCAGCAACUUUUGGAGAACUGAAGCACUGCAAGGUAACUUGCCCUCCAUAUCCUCAGAAGCUAGGGUGGCAGUGUCUGCCAGUACUGGUCACCAAAACAAGAGUCACAAUCCACAAAAAGCUGGCUAUUGAAUUUCAUGAACACAUUUCACACAUUUCAUGAACAAGUUGAAGUACCUUAAGGAGGAGCAUGAAAUGGAAAUGAAGAUCCUCCAAGUAGAACUGGAAAUGAAGAUGGAGAAAGAGAUGAAACUGUCUCAUAUCACAACAAUGCAUGAAUCUGAAAUAAAUUGUCUUAUUAAAUCA